AUAAAAGCUCAAAAUUUUGCUCAGCUUCAUAAAUAGUGGCUAAUUGUAAACAACAGGAAACCAAAUAUUCUGAAGGUGCCUCCUCUAACGACUGUACUGGAACAUAUAAUUCAGAUAUUAACUCUUUCCGUAACUCAAGAGACGAAAUGCUAACUGCAACAUCAAGUAAAGAAAACAAAACGUCGUUCCGUUUUGCAAAGUUGUUGCUGCCGCAACAAAUAUUUAAACAUCUCUUCGCUUGCUCAAAUAGCUCUUUUUCAUUUGUAUAAUGCAAAGCUAAUGCUUCUCGAAACUGUGCCACCGGCAUAUUCCCUUCCAGGAAAUAAUGAACUACUUCUUCCAUUUUGAUGGUUUAUUGGGAGAAAUAAUUCAGUGGUGGGAGUGAAUGGCUUUUCUUCAUUGAAUGUGAGUUUGGUAAGAGUAGCAAAAUCAAAGUUUCGCACCUCUAGCUUAAUGGCAAUCAACUAAUUAAAGUAUCGUAAUUUAAUAAUUGGAAGAAGAAUAUGAUUUAAAUACAUUAUUCUUUCAAAUUUACGCAAACAUAAAUUUAAAGAGUUAAGAAAUGCGUAAAGUAACUUUGCCGCCAUUUUUCUCUAGAAUUGUACAUAUUAUACAUCUCGAUUUGUUUAUAAAUAAAAAAGUUGACGAUGUCAACUGUAUUCAUUAAUGAUGUUUUAAUUAAUUUAAAUGCUAGAAUUAUACCGACAUUAUUUACUUUUGCUUUCUUCAGCUGUCGUGUUUGUUAAGUUUUAAAAUUGAUGUUGAUAAUGGGAACAGUAGAAAAGUGCACAUUUAUGAAAUAGGUUCAACUAUUUUAAAAUAAUCUAAUUAGGGGUCU